rnacentral:rRNA from 1 species
CGGCGUCGAGCGGCGGACGGGUGAGUAAUGCCUGGGAAAUUGCCCUGAUGUGGGGGAUAACCAUUGGAAACGAUGGCUAAUACCGCAUAAUGCCUUCGGGCCAAAGAGGGGGACCUUCGGGCCUCUCGCGUCAGGAUAUGCCCAGGUGGGAUUAGCUAGUUGGUGAGGUAAUGGCUCACCAAGGCGACGAUCCCUAGCUGGUCUGAGAGGAUGAUCAGCCACACUGGAACUGAGACACGGUCCAGACUCCUACGGGAGGCAGCAGUGGGGAAUAUUGCACAAUGGGCGCAAGCCUGAUGCAGCCAUGCCGCGUGUAUGAAGAAGGCCUUCGGGUUGUAAAGUACUUUCAGUCGUGAGGAAGGUGGUGCAGUUAAUAGCUGUAUUACUUGACGUUAGCGACAGAAGAAGCACCGGCUAACUCCGUGCCAGCAGCCGCGGUAAUACGGAGGGUGCGAGCGUUAAUCGGAAUUACUGGGCGUAAAGCGCAUGCAGGUGGUUCGUUAAGUCAGAUGUGAAAGCCCGGGGCUCAACCUCGGAAUAGCAUUUGAAACUGGCGGACUAGAGUACUGUAGAGGGGGGUAGAAUUUCAGGUGUAGCGGUGAAAUGCGUAGAGAUCUGAAGGAAUACCGGUGGCGAAGGCGGCCCCCUGGACAGAUACUGACACUCAGAUGCGAAAGCGUGGGGAGCAAACAGGAUUAGAUACCCUGGUAGUCCACGCCGUAAACGAUGUCUACUUGGGAGGUUGUGGCCUUGAGCCGUGGCUUUCGGAGCUAACGCGUUAAGUAGACCGCCUGGGGGAGUACGGUCGCAAGAUUAAAACUCAAAUGAAUUGACGGGGGCCCGCACAAGCGGUGGAGCAUGUGGUUUAAUUCGAUGCAACGCGAAGAACCUUACCUACUCUUGACAUCCAGAGAACUUUCCAGAGAUGGAUUGGUGCCUUCGGGAACUCUGAGACAGGUGCUGCAUGGCUGUCGUCAGCUCGUGUUGUGAAAUGUUGGGUUAAGUCCC